CCACUGCACACGUGAGCCUGAGGGUAGCUGUGUUCCAGCUUUGCACAGAAAGCAGGUUUGGGAGAAUGAAGCCAGAGGCCAAGGAGAGAAUGCGGAAUCCUGGAGUGUUGAAGGCCCUUGUUUUGAUUCCUCGCGUCCUCCAGUCCAUCCUCAUUUUCUGGAGAGGCAGCGUGACCUAACGACGAAAGCCUCCACAACUGGUUUCUGUCGGUGUGAGUCCCAAAUCUGCCACUGGCUGGCUGGGAAACCUUGGCACCAGAGUGAGGAGAGGCUAGGAGGAAGAGGAGACUUUGAGAAGCUG
rnacentral:lncRNA from 1 species